UACGAAGGGUGCAAGCGUUACUCGGAAUUACUGGGCGUAAAGCGUGCGUAGGUGGUUUGUUAAGUCUGCUGUGAAAGCCCCGGGCUCAACCUGGGAAUGGCAGUGGAUACUGGCAAGCUAGAGUGCGGUAGAGGGGUGUGGAAUUCCCGGUGUAGCGGUGAAAUGCGUAGAGAUCGGGAGGAACACCAGUGGCGAAGGCGGCUACCUGGCACAUAACUGACGCUGAUACGCGAAAGCGUGGGGAGAGAACCGG
rnacentral:rRNA from 1 species